rnacentral:rRNA from 1 species
UUCAGAUUCUGGCUCAGAUUGAACGCUGGCGGGAUGCUUUACACACAUGCAAGUCGAACGGCAGCACGGACUUCGGUCUGGUGGCGAGUGGCGAACGGGUGAGUAAUGUAGGAACGUGCCUAGUAGCGGGGGAUAACUACGCGAAAGCGUAGCUAAUACCGCAUACGCCCUUCGGGGAAAGCGGGGACCUUCGGGCCUCGCACUAUUGAGUGGAUAUCGGAUUAGCUAGCUGGUGGGCAACGGCUCACCAAGGCGACGAUCCGUAGCUGGUUUGAGAGGACGACCAGCCACACUGGGACUGAGAGACACGGCCCAGACUCCUACGGGAGGCAGCAGUGGGGAAUUUUGGAUACCGGGGAAACCCUGAUCCAGCCAUCCCGCGUGUGCGAUGGAAGGCCUUCGUUAGGUUGUAAAGCACUUUUGGCAGGAAAGAACGGGCGGCUACCGAUAACACCCGUGCAACUGACGGUACUUGCAGUGAAUAAGCACCGGCUAACCAUGUUGCAGCCGCGGUAAUACGUGUAGGGGUGCAAGCGUUAAUCGGAAUUACUGGGCGUAAAAGCGUGCGCAGGCGGUUCGGAAAGAAAGAUGUGAAAUCCCGUGAGCUUAACUCUUGGAACUGCAUUUUAACUAUCGAGCUAGAGUGUGUCAGAGGGAGGUGGAAUUCCGCGUGUAGCAGUGAAAUGCGUAGAUAUGCGGAGGAACACCGAUGGCGAAGGCAGCCUCCUGGAAUAACACUGACGCUCAUGCACGAAAGCGUGGGGAGCAAACAGGAUUAGAUAAUUCUGGUAGUCCACGCCCUCCUAAACGAUGUCAACUAGCUGUUUGGGUGCCCGGGCCUUUGGUAGCGCAGCUAAUGCGAAGUUGACCGCCUGGGGAGUACGGUCGCAAGAUCAGAAACCAAAGGAAUUGACGGGGACUCCGCACAAGCGGUGGAUGAUGUAGGGAUUAAUUCGGAUGCAACGCGAAAAACCUACCUACCCCUGAUAUGUCUGGAAUCCCGAAGAGAUUUGGGAGUGCUCGUAAGGAGAACCGGAACACAGGUGCUGGCAUUGCUGUCGUCAGCUCGUGUCGAGAUGUUGGGUUAAGUUCCGCAACGAGCGCAACCCUUGUCAUUAGUUGCUACGAAAGGGCACUCUAAUGAGACUUCGCCGGUGACAAACCGGAGGAAGGUGGGAUGACGCCAAGUCUCGCGGCUCCCAUGGGUAGGGCUUCGCCAUCGUCAUAAUGGUCGGGACAGGUCGCCAACCCGCGGGGGGAGUCAAUCCUAGAAACCCGAUCGUAGUCCGAUCGCAGUCUGCAACCUCGACUGCGUGAAGUCGGAAUCGCUAGUAAUCGCGGAUCAGCAUGUCGCGGUAACAUGUUCCCGGCCUGCACACACCGCCCGCUUCAAUUGGGAGUGGGUUUUACCAGAAGUAGUUAGCUCAACCGGGUAGAGGGCGAUUACCACGGUAGGAUUCAUGACUGGGUGAAGUCGUAACAAGGUAA